rnacentral:rRNA from 1 species
AGUGAACGCUGGCGGUAGGCCUAACACAUGCGAGUCGAACGGCAGCACAGUAAGAGCUUGCUCUUACGGGUGGCGAGUGGCGGACGGGUGAGGAAUACAUCGGAAUCUACUUUUUCGUGGGGGAUAACGUAGGGAAACUUACGCUAAUACCGCAUACGACCUACGGGUGAAAGCAGGGGAUCUUCGGACCUUGCGCGAUUGAAUGAGCCGAUGUCGGAUUAGCUAGUUGGCGGGGUAAAGGCCCACCAAGGCGACGAUCCGUAGCUGGUCUGAGAGGAUGAUCAGCCACACUGGAACUGAGACACGGUCCAGACUCCUACGGGAGGCAGCAGUGGGGAAUAUUGGACAAUGGGCGCAAGCCUGAUCCAGCCAUACCGCGUGGGUGAAGAAGGCUUUCGGGUUGUAAAGCCCUUUUGUUGGGAAAGAAAAGCAGCAGGUUAAUACCCCGCUGUUCUGACGGUACCCAAAGAAUAAGCACCGGCUAACUUCGUG